rnacentral:tRNA from 1 species
GUGGCUGUAGUUCAAUUGGUUAGAGCAUCUGGUUGUGAACCAGAAGGUUACGGGUUCAAGUCCCGUCGGUCACC